rnacentral:rRNA from 1 species
GGUCAAUGGCCUAACGGCUGAACCAGCAACUUGGGGGAAUGGAUAUAUAUAUUAGAAAUAAUAUAUAGUACCGACUCUGUCGGAUAAAGUUCUAGAUAGAAUAAUGAUAAUGACAAUUUUCUAUCUAUAUGUCUUGACCAAAUCUUGUGCCAGCAGUCGCGGCAACACAAGGGAGACUGGUGUUAUUCAUCUUUAUUAGGUUUAAAGGGUACCUAGACGGUAUAUCAUGCCCCAAAAGGGAACGGAUAUACUAGAGUUUUAUGUGAGAGGUAAAUAUAGUACUAUUGGUGUAGAGAUAAUAUUCAUUGAUACCUCUAGGCACGGGUAACGGCGAAGGCAAUCCUCUAUGUAAAAACUGACGUUGAGGGACGAAGGCUCGGGUAACGAAUAGGAUUAGAUACCCUAAUAGUCCGGGCAGACAAUUAUGAAUGUCAUAGAUUAGAAGUUUUUUUGGUCUAUAAAUGAAAGUGUAAGCAUUCCACCUCAAGAGUAAGGCGGCAACGUUGGAACUGAAACCAUUAGACCGUUUCUGAAACCAGUAGUGAAGUAUGUUAUUUAAUUCGAUGAUCCUCGAAAAACCUUACCACAAUUUGAAUGUUAAUUAAUAAAUUAACACAGGCGUUGCAUGGCUGUCUUCAGUUAAUGUCGUGAGAUCUGGUUAGAUCCAAAAAAUUAUCGUAAACCCUUGUACUUUAUUUGUUUGAAUAGUGCAGUUAACCACUAUAUUGGAUUAUAUAA